rfam:Pantoea gaviniae strain LMG 25382 Contig0023_, whole genome shotgun sequence.
CGCUGUUUUUCACAGCCAGCUAAAGUUUCAGCAGUCUGAGAGAAACGCCUUAGGGUGACUGCCAGCUAACGUUUCACCGGUCUGAGAGAAACACCUUCGGGUGACCGGAAAAUCCUCGCAGCCUGAGAGAGGAUACCUUCGGGUGGUAAAUCC